rnacentral:lncRNA from 1 species
AGGAAAUAGAUAGAGUCUGAUGUUUCUUCAUGUAAGAUCUGUACAGUUUAAACCUUUUAGAAUAGCUAUUUUCCUUAAAAAGUUCCUUUAUUUUUUAGCAAUCAGAAUCACUGAUAUUUGGCUAUGAAGUCACAUCUCAUCCUUAGACCUAACAAGGACUUUUAUCUUCCUGAUCUCCUGAGGAUAAUCUAUGAGUGCAAAAUGACUCUGGAAAUUAGCAUGGAUUUCUAAAGAAUUACUGAGCAACUAAUGGUCUGUACUCAAUGAACAGAGUGGAAAUGCAAUUGGAAAAACUCUAAUAUAAAACUCUAUUAAGGACCCUACCUGGGUGUUC